rnacentral:rRNA from 1 species
UACGGGGGGGAGCAAGCGUUGUUCGGAUUUACUGGGCGUAAAGGGCGCGUAGGCGGUCAGCACAAGUCAGUUGUGAAAUCUCCGGGCUUAACUCGGAAAGGUCAACUGAUACUGUGCGACUAGAGUGCAGAAGGGGCAACUGGAAUUCUCGGUGUAGCGGUGAAAUGCGUAGAUAUCGUAAGGAAGACCAGUGCGAAGGCGGGUCUCUGGACAGUUCCUGACGCUGAGGCACGAAGGUCAGGGGAGCAAACGGG